UACGGAGGGGGCUAGCGUUGUUCGGAAUUACUGGGCGUAAAGCGCACGUAGGCGGAUCAGUCAGUCAGAGGUGAAAUCCCAGGGCUCAACCCUGGAACUGCCUUUGAUACUGCUGGUCUGGAGGUCGAGAGAGGUGAGUGGAAUUCCGAGUGUAGAGGUGAAAUUCGUAGAUAUUCGGAGGAACACCAGUGGCGAAGGCGGCUCACUGGCUCGAUACUGACGCUGAGGUGCGAAAGCGUGGGGAGCAAACAGG
rnacentral:rRNA from 1 species